rnacentral:rRNA from 1 species
GACGAACGCUGGCGGCGUGCCUAAUACAUGCGAGUCGAACGCACUCUCGUUUAGAUUGACGGAGUUUGCUCCUGAUUGAUAAACAUUUGAGUGAGUGGCGGACGGGUGAGUAACACGUGGGUAACCUGCCCUAAAGUGGGGGAUAACAUUUGGAAACAGAUGCUAAUACCGCAUAAAACCUAACACCGCAUGGUGUAGGGUUGAAAGAUGGUUUCGGCUAUCACUUUAGGAUGGACCCGCGGUGCAUUAGUUAGUUGGUGAGGUAAAGGCUCACCAAGACCGUGAUGCAUAGCCGACCUGAGAGGGUAAUCGGCCACACUGGGACUGAGACACGGCCCAGACUCCUACGGGAGGCAGCAGUAGGGAAUCUUCCACAAUGGACGAAAGUCUGAUGGAGCAACGCCGCGUGAGUGAAGAAGGUUUUCGGAUCGUAAAACUCUGUUGUUGGAGAAGAAGGUAUCUGAUAGUAACUGAUCAGGUAGUGACGGUAUCCAAACAGAAAGCCACGGCUAACUACGUG